rnacentral:rRNA from 1 species
CGUGUAGGUGGUUUGGUAAGUUGGGUAUGAAAUCUCCUGGCUUAACUAGGAGAGGUUGCUCAAAACUGCCAGACUAGAGGACGAUAGAGGAAGGUGGAAUUCCCGGUGUAGUAGUGAAAUGCGUAGAUAUCGGGAGGAACACCAGUGGCGAAGGCGGCCUUCUGGGUCGUUCCUGACACUAAGACGCGAAAGCAUGGGUAGCAAACG